rnacentral:pre_miRNA from 1 species
UAUAUACUCCCUCUGGUUCAUAUUACUUGUCUUGGAUUUUUCUAGAUAUGGAUGUAUCUAGACAUGUUUUAGUGUUAGAUUCAUCCGUAUCUAGACAAAUCUAAGACAAGUAACUGGAACCGGAGGGAGUAUUAG